GAGCGAGAAAGCCCGCUUCGGCGGGUGAGUAAAGCGGCGAACGGGUGAGUAACACGUGAGUCACCUACCCCUCAGUAGGGGAUAACAUCUCGAAAGGGUUGCUAAUACCGUGUACGGUCCCGACCGUUCCUGCGGUUGGGACGAAAGGUGGCCUCUCUAUAGAAGCUGCCGCUGGGGGAUGGGCUCGCGCACCAUUAGCUUGUUGGUAGGGUAACGGCCUACCAAGGCUACGAUGGGUAGCUGGUCUGAGAGGACGGCCAGUCACACUGGAACUGAGACACGGUCCAGACUCCUACGGGAGGCGGCAGUGGGGAAUAUUGCACAAUGGGGGAAACCCUGAUGCAGCAACGCCGCGUGCGGGAUGAAGGUCUUCGGGUCGUAAACCGCUGUCAGGAGGGAAGAAAUCGCCCCGGUUAAUAGCCGGGGUGGAUGACGGUACCUCCAGAGGAAGCCCCGGCUAACUCCGUGCCAGCAGCCGCGGUAAGACGGAGG
rnacentral:rRNA from 1 species